rnacentral:rRNA from 1 species
UACGUAGGCAGCAAGCGUUGUUCGGAAUUACUGGGCGUAAAGAGUGUGUAGGCGGUUUUCUAAGUUCGGUGUGAAAUCUCCCGGCUUAACUGGGAGGGUGCGCCGGAAACUGGAGGACUGGAGUGCCGGAGAGGAUAGCGGAAUUCCUGGUGUAGCGGUGAAAUGCGUAGAUAUCGGGAGGAACACCGGUGGCGAAGGCGGGUCUCUGGGCCGUUACUGACGCUGAGGAGCGAAAGCGUGGGGAGCGAACAGG